CUUUGCAAAGAACAAGGUACUCCAUAUUCCUACAGCCCUGGAGGAUGAAAGAAAGGAUAAGGACAUGGAUUCAAAACCUGAGAUAAAUCCUCGGAGCCAUGGUGCCAGCAGUUUGGUGCAGGUACCAAAAUACAGAGCUGAUUCCAAAAUCUAUGCUCCAUAACCAUCCGAGACUGCCCAGGGCUGCAAUCCAUGGAGACAGCGAGAAACAUGACAACAAACAAAUACAUUGCCCGAGUCUGAAAUCUGACUCUGGUUUCUAAUUCUACCACUAAACUUUUUAUAAUUUCUGAUUAUAAAAAUAAUGUGAAAAUAACAUAGCAAUUAACAUCUAUUGAUCACUUGGGACUAAGCAUCUGCCAGAGAUCAUUUAAUUCUCACCUACAAAGUAGAUACUAUUUUCCUGGGGUGAAGGGAUUGGUCUAAGGUCAUAGAGCUAUCAUGUGUAAGAGGCAAGAUAAGAUUCAGACUCAAAAGGCCAGAGGAUCAGAGUUACACUGCUUUCCUGCACAGAAUUACUACUGAUUGUUGCCCCGGUUACAUAGGACUGCUGAGAAAAUGGCACACAGACUUAUUUCUUCGGAGAAACGUCAAAUGUUUCAUAUGAUUCAUUAUUCUUAUUUUUACUUUUGAAUUUUGGGGUUCAUUGUUUAAUUAUAAAAGAUGGCUCUUUUACUAACGAUUUUGUCAUUUGCUAGUAAUUUUUUCAUGCAACUCACUGAAAUUUCUGAUUUUAUAAUUUCAGGCCUUUGACCUCAGCUUUUGCUUUUCACAGAAACUGGAGAAUUCUGUUUACUAGUUUGCUAAGACAAUAUUUU
rnacentral:lncRNA from 1 species